rnacentral:rRNA from 1 species
UGAAUACGAGACGCUAAGGCGUCGAAGUAGUGUAUGUCAUACUUCCAAGAAAAGCUUGCACUGUCAUAGAUAAAAAACGCCUGUAGCAUAACCGACACAGGUGGGUAGGUAGAGUAUACUAAGGGGCGCGAGAUAACUCCCUCUAAGGAACUCGGCAAAAUGACUCCGUAACUUCGGGAGAAGGAGUGUCUUAUUCUUAAGGUUGCAAUAACAAGAUCCAAGCAACUGUUUAUCAAAAACACAGGUCUCCGCUAAGUCGUAAGACGAUGUAUGGGGGCUGACGCCUGCCCAGUGCCAGAAGGUUAAAGAAGUUGGUUAGCAUUUGCGAAGCUGAUAACCGAAGCCCUGGUGAACGGCGGCCGUAACAAUAACGGUCCUAAGGUAGCGAAAUUCCUUGUCGGGUAAGUUCCGACCCGCACGAAAGGCGUAAUGAUUUGGAUACUGUCUCGGAGAGGGGCUCGGUGAAAUAGACUUGUCUGUGAAGAUGCGGACUACCUGCACCAGGACAGAAAGACCCUAUGAAGCUUUACUGUAACUUGAAAUUGAAAUUGGACUUUAUUCGCGCAGUAUAGGUGGGAGGCGUUGAUUAUAAUCUUGCGGGAUUAUUGGAGCCAUCUGUGAGAUACCACCCUUGUAAUGUUAGAUUUCUAACUUUGAAUCAUUAUCUGGUCAAAGAACAGUUUCAGGCGGGCAGUUUGACUGGGGCGGUCGCCUCCUAAACGGUAACGGAGGCGUACAAAGGUUUCCUCUGAACGGUUAGAAAUCGUAUCUAGAGUGUAAAGGCAUAAGGAAGCUUGACUGUGAGACCUACAAGUCGAGCAGGGACGAAAGUCGGUCUUAGUGAUCUGACGGUACUGAGUGGAAAGGCCGUCACUCAACGGAUAAAAGUUACUCUAGGAUAACAGGCUGAUCUCCCCCAAGAGUUCACAUCGACGGGGAGGUUUGGCACCUCGAUGUCGGCUCAUCGCAUCCUGGGGCGGUAGUACGUCCCAAGGGUUGGGCUGUUCGCCCAUGAAAGCGGUACGCGAGCUGGGUUCAGAACGUCGUGAGACAGUUCGGUCCAUAUCCGGUGUAGGCGUUAGAAUAUUGAGAGGAGCCUUCUUUAGUACGAGAGGACCGAGAAGGACAUACCUCUGGUGUACCAGUUAUCGUGCCAACGGUAAACGCUGGGUAGCUAUGUAUGGAGUGGAUAACCGCUGAAAGCAUCUAAGUGGGAAGCCCACCUCAAGAUAAGUAUUCUCAC